GUCCUUUAGGAAUAUAAUUUAAGGUCUGAUCUGCCCACUGAAAUUAAUUGAAUGGCCGCAGUAAUUUGACUGUGCAAAGGUAGCAUAAUCAUUAGUUUUUUAAUUAAAAGCUUGAAUGAAGGGUUGGACGAAAUAAAAUCUGUCUUUAGUUUAUUAUUAGAAUUUAAUUUUUAAGUUAAAAAGCUUAGAUAUUUAUAAAAGACGAGAAGACCCUAUAGAUCUUUAUUUUAUUAAAAUUUAAUUUUAUUUUAGAUUUAUUUAUUUAUUAUUUUUUAUAGAAUUUUAUUGGGGUAAUAAAAAGAUUAAGUUAAUUCUUUAUUUAUUUUACAAUAAUAAUUGAUUUUUUGAUCCAUUAGUAAUGAUUAUAAGAUUAAGUUACCUUAGGGAUAACAGCGUAAUUUUUUUAGAGAGUUCUUAUCGAUAAAAAAGUUUGCGACCUCGAUGUUGGAUUAAAAUUAAAUUUAGGCGUAGAAGUUUAGAUUUUUGGUCUGUUCGACCAUUAAAAUUUU
rnacentral:rRNA from 1 species